GACGAACGCUGGCGGCGUGCUUAACACAUGCAAGUCGAACGGAAAGGCCCUGCUUUUGUGGGGUGCUCGAGUGGCGAACGGGUGAGUAACACGUGAGUAACCUGCCCUUGACUUUGGGAUAACUUCAGGAAACUGGGGCUAAUACCGGAUAGGAGCUCCUGCUGCAUGGUGGGGGUUGGAAAGUUUCGGCGGUUGGGGAUGGACUCGCGGCUUAUCAGCUUGUUGGUGGGGUAGUGGCUUACCAAGGCUUUGACGGGUAGCCGGCCUGAGAGGGUGACCGGCGACAUUGGGACUGAGAGACGGCCCAGACUCCUACGGGAGGCAGCAGUGGGGAAUAUUGCACAAUGGGCGGAAGCCUGAUGCAGCAACGCCGCGUGCGGGAUGACGGCCUUCGGGUUGUAAACCGCUUUCGCCUGUGACGAAGCGGGAGUGACGGUAAUGGGUAAAGAAGCACCGGCUAACUACGUG
rnacentral:rRNA from 1 species